rnacentral:rRNA from 1 species
GUCCACGCUGUAAACGAUGAGUGCUAGGUGUUGGGUCGAGAGACUCGGUGCCGCAGCUAACGCAAUAAGCACUCCACCUGGGGAGUACGGCCGCAAGGCUGAAACUCAAAAGAAUUGACGGGGGCCCGCACAAGCGGUGGAGCAUGUGGUUUAAUUCGAAGCAACGCGAAGAACCUUACCAAGGCUUGACAUCUUCUUGACGUAUGUAGAGAUACAUAUUCCCUUCGGGGCAAGAAUGACAGGUGGUGCAUGGUUGUCGU